GACGAACGCUGGCGGCGUGCUUAACACAUGCAAGUCGAACGGAAAGGCCCUGCUUUUGUGGGGUGCUCGAGUGGCGAACGGGUGAGUAACACGUGAGUAACCUGCCCUUGACUUUGGGAUAACUUCAGGAAACUGGGGCUAAUACCGGAUAGGAGCUCCUGCUGCAUGGUGGGGGUUGGAAAGUUUCGGCGGUUGGGGAUGGACUCGCGGCUUAUCAGCUUGUUGGUGGGGUAGUGGCUUACCAAGGCUUUGACGGGUAGCCGGCCUGAGAGGGUGACCGGCCACAUUGGGACUGAGAUACGGACCAGACUCCUACGGGAGGCAGCAGUGGGGAAUAUUGCACAAUGGGCGGAAGCCUGAUGCAGCAACGCCGCAUGCGGGAUGACGGCCUUCGGGUUGUAAACCGCUUUCGCCUGUGACGAAGCGUGAGUGACGGUAAUGGGUAAAGAAGCACCGGCUAACUACGUG
rnacentral:rRNA from 1 species